AUACGUAGGUGGCAAGCGUUGUCCGGAUUACUUGGGCGUAAAGGGUGCGUAGGUGGAUAUUUAAGUGAGAUGUGAAAUCCCCCGAGCUUAACUUGGGGCCUGCAUUUCAAACUGGAUAUCUAGAGUGCAGGAGAGGAGAAUGGAAUUCCUAGUGUAGCGGUGAAAUGCGUAGAGAUUAGGAAGAACACCAGUGGCGAAGGCGAUUCUCUGGACUGUAACUGACACUGAGGCACGAAAGCGUGGGUAGC
rnacentral:rRNA from 1 species